CGGGGAGGUAGUGACGAAAAAUAACGAUACGGGACUCAUCCGAGGCCCCGUAAUCGGAAUGAGUACACUUUAAAUCCUUUAACAAGGACCAAUUGGAGGGCAAGUCUGGUGCCAGCAGCCGCGGUAAUUCCAGCUCCAAUAGCGUAUAUUAAAGUUGUUGCGGUUAAAAAGCUCGUAGUUGAAUCUGUGUGUCACAGUGUCGGUUCACCGCUCGCGGUGUUUAACUGGCAUUAUGUGGUACGUCCUAUCGGUGGGCUUAGCUCCUUGCGGGCGGUCCAACUAAUCUCCCAUCGCGGUGCUCUUCACUGAGUGUCGAGGUGGGCCGAUACGUUUACUUUGAACAAAUUAGAGUGCUCAAAGCAGGCUACCUUCGCCUGAAUACUGCGUGCAUGGAAUAAUGGAAUAGGACCUCGGUUCUAUUUUGUUGGUUUUCGGAACCCCGAGGUAAUGAUUAAUAGGGACAGAUGGGGGCAUUCGUAUUGCGACGUUAGAGGUGAAAUUCUUGGAUCGUCGCAAGACGGACUAAAGCGAAAGCAUUUGCCAAAAAUGUUUUCAUUAAUCAAGAACGAAAGUUAGAGGUUCGAAGGCGAUCAGAUACCGCCCUAGUUCUAACCAUAAACGAUGCCAGCUGGCGAUCCGCCGAAGUUCCUCCGAUGACUCGGCGGGCAGCUUCCGGGAAACCAAAGCUUUUGGGUUCCGGGGGAAGUAUGGUUGCAAAGCUGAAACUUAAAGGAAUUGACGGAAGGGCACCACCAGGAGUGGAGCCUGCGGCUUAAUUUGACUC
rnacentral:rRNA from 1 species